rnacentral:rRNA from 1 species
CUACGGGACGCAGCAGUGAGGAAUAUUGCACAAUGGGGGGAACCCUGACGCAGCAACGCCGCGUGGAGGAUGACGCAUUUCGGUGUGUAAACUCCUUUUAUAUGUCAAGAAAAUGACGGUAGCAUAUGAAUAAGCACCGGCUAACUCCGUGCCAGCAGCCGCGGUAAUACGGAGGGUGCAAGCGUUACUCGGAAUCACUGGGCGUAAAGGAUGCGUAGGCGGGUUGGAAAGUCAGGUGUGAAAUCCUACAGCUUAACUGUAGAACUGCACUUGAAACUUCUAAUCUAGAGUAUGGGAGGGGGAGAUGGAAUUAGUGGUGUAGGGGUAAAAUCCGCAGAUAUCACUAGGAAUACCUAAAGCGAAGGCGAUCUCCUGGAACAUUACUGACGCUAAGGCGUGAAAGCGUGGGGAGCAAACAGGAUUAGAUACCCGUGUAGUC